GAUGAACGCUGGCGGCGUGCUUAACACAUGCAAGUCGAACGGGAAUUACUUUAUUGAAACUUCGGUCGAUUUAAUUUAAUUCUAGUGGCGGACGGGUGAGUAACGCGUGGGUAACCUGCCUUAUACAGGGGGAUAACAGUCAGAAAUGGCUGCUAAUACCGCAUAAGCGCACAGAGCUGCAUGGCUCAGUGUGAAAAACUCCGGUGGUAUAAGAUGGACCCGCGUUGGAUUAGCUGGUUGGUGGGGUAACGGCCCACCAAGGCGACGAUCCAUAGCCGGCCUGAGAGGGUGAACGGCCACAUUGGGACUGAGACACGGCCCAGACUCCUACGGGAGGCAGCAGUGGGGAAUAUUGCACAAUGGGGGAAACCCUGAUGCAGCGACGCCGCGUGAAGGAAGAAGUAUCUCGGUAUGUAAACUUCUAUCAGCAGGGAAGAUAGUGACGGUAC
rnacentral:rRNA from 1 species